rnacentral:rRNA from 1 species
AAGCGGUGGAGCAUGUGGUUUAAUUCGAUGCAACGCGAAGAACCUUACCUACUCUUGACAUCCAGAGAACUUUCCAGAGAUGGAUUGGUGCCUUCGGGAACUCUGAGACAGGUGCUGCAUGGCUGUCGUCAGCUCGUGUUGUGAAAUGUUGGGUUAAGUCCCGCAACGAGCGCAACCCUUAUCCUUUGUUGCCAGCGGUUAGGCCGGGAACUCAAAGGAGACUGCCAGUGAUAAACUGGAGGAAGGUGGGGAUGACGUCAAGUCAUCAUGGCCCUUACGAGUAGGGCUACACACGUGCUACAAUGGCGCAUACAAAGAGAAGCGACCUCGCGAGAGCAAGCGGACCUCAUAAAGUGCGUCGUAGUCCGGAUUGGAGUCUGCAACUCGACUCCAUGAAGUCGGAAUCGCUAGUAAUCGUAGAUCAGAAUGCUACCGUGAAUACGUUCCCGGGCCUUGUACACACCGCCCGUCACACCAUGGGAGUGGGUUGCAAAAAAAUAGGUACUUACCUCGGGAGCGCUACCCUUGUGCUCUG